rnacentral:rRNA from 1 species
GGGUUGUGAGGUUAAGCGACUAAGCGUACACGGUGGAUGCCCUGGCAGUCAGAGGCGAUGAAGGACGUGCUAAUCUGCGAUAAGCGUCGGUAAGGUGAUAUGAACCGUUAUAACCGGCGAUUUCCGAAUGGGGAAACCCAGUGUGWUUCGWCACACUAUCAUUAACUGAAUCCAUAGGUUAAUGAGGCGAACCGGGGGAACUGAAACAUCUAAGUACCCCGAGGAAAAGAAAUCAA